CUGUUCCCUAGAGUUCCCUUGACCACUUCAUUGGCCGGAAGUAAACUUAAGAACUCUUAAUUGAGGGGUGGAUUAUUUGCCACUGAAGUGUUUGGGGGAACUCCGGGGUUCAU
rnacentral:pre_miRNA from 1 species